rnacentral:lncRNA from 1 species
CAUUGCAUUCAGAGCCAUGCAGUCUUGUUUCAUGUUGAUCUCACAUCAACUGUUAUCCCCAUUUUAUAAAACGAGAGAACAGGCCCAAAGAGGUGCUCGAAGCCUCAUAGACAGUCAAUGGGAGGGUCUUGCUUUGAACUCAGGACUCUUGGUUCCCGUAGCACUGAUGAGUGCCCUGAGGUGGGAUUGGAUGCUGCAGCAAGGUGGCUCCAGGCAGGGGUGAUAGUUCCAGGCUGUCUGGGCCUCUGUCAUAGAUUUCUCCCUCUUUUCCUUCCUCCCUCUGAUUGGAAGCAUGGAGACAGGAAACUUCUGUCAAAAGUAAAACUGAGGAUCAGAGAGAGGGAAACAGUUGGAUUGGUCGUGAAUUUGGUCCUAGUGCCAUAGGCUAAGCCCAUAUUAGUCUAGGAUACUGAACAGACCAGGAGCUAGCGCUAAAGCUUAAGGCAGGUCAGAACUAGAAUCAGAGUUAGAGCUGAACCAGGAACUAGACUUAGAGCUGCCACCAGUGCUGGAGCAGAUCCAGGCCAGGACAAGGGGCUGAACCCAGACCCAGAGCCAGGAGGAAAAGGGUGGGGAUAGAGGAAGGCGCUCCCACCACACAUGUACAGAAUUCUCCAGUAAGUCAGCUACAGUGCUGGGCAGAAA